rnacentral:misc_RNA from 1 species
GGAAGCAAAAGUCGUAACAAGGUUUCCGUAGGUGAACCUGCGGAAGGAUCAUUAUCGAAAUACUUAUUUAGCGUUCCGUGCUAUCCCAUUGUUUUAUUUACCCUGUUGCUUCCACUGGAUGAGUUUCCAUACCUUGUGUUUGAGAAACUUUGGCUUGUGUAGAUUCAUUCACGGCCAGCCAGUGAGAAGACCAUUUACAAAACCCUGUUAAGAACCAAUUGUCCGAAUAUUUUACUCCAAUGAAAUAAAACUUUCAACAACGGAUCUCUAGGCUCUU